GACGAACGCUGGCGGCGUGCUUAACACAUGCAAGUCGAGCGAUGAAGCACCUUCGGGUGUGAAUUAGCGGCGAACGGGUGAGGAACACGUGAGAAAUCUGCCUUCAACUCUGGGAUAACUCCGGGAAACCGGGGCUAAUACCGGAUAUGAGCCUUGAUCGCAUGAUCGGGGCUGGAAAGUUUUUCGGUUGAAGAUGAUCUCGCGGCCUAUCAGCUUGUUGGUGAGGUAAUGGCUCACCAAGGCGACGACGGGUAGCCGGCCUGAGAGGGCGACCGGACACACUGGGGCGGAGACACGGCCCAGACUCCUACGGGAGGCAGCAGUGGGGAAUAUUGGGCAAUGGAGGAAACUCUGACCCAGCGACGCCGCGUGAGGGAUGAAGGCCUUCGGGUUGUAAACCUCUUUCAGUAGGGAAGAAGCGAAAGUGACGGUACCUACAGAAGAAGCACCGGCUAACUAUGUGCCAGCCGCCGCCGUAA
rnacentral:rRNA from 1 species